UGGGGAAUAUUGGACAAUGGGCGAAAGCCUGAUCCAGCAAUGCCGCGUGAGUGAUGAAGGCCUUAGGGUUGUAAAGCUCUUUUACCCGGGAUGAUAAUGACAGUACCGGGAGAAUAAGCCCCGGCUAACUCCGUGCCAGCAGCCGCGGUAAUACGGAGGGAGCUAGCGUUGUUCGGAAUUACUGGGCGUAAAGCGCGCGUAGGCGGUUUUUUAAGUCAGAGGUGAAAGCCCAGUGCUCAACACUGGAACUGCCUUUGAAACUGGAAAACUUGAAUCUUGGAGAGGUCAGUGGAAUUCCGAGUGUAGAGGUGAAAUUCGUAGAUAUUCGGAAGAACACCAGUGGCGAAGGCGACUGACUGGACAAGUAUUGACGCUGAGGUGCGAAAGCGUGGGGAGCAAACA
rnacentral:rRNA from 2 species